UUUAUCAAAAACAUAGCCUUUAGCAACAAAAGUAUUAAAGGUCCUGCCUGCCCAGUGAAACUUUUAAACGGCCGCGGUAUUCUAACCGUGCAAAGGUAGCGUAAUCACUUGUCUUCUAAAUAAAGACCAGUAUGAACGGCUAAAUGAGGACAGACCUGUCUCCUACAACCAAUCAGUGAAACUGAUCUCCCAGUCCAAAAGCUGGGAUACUAACAUUAGACGAGAAGACCCUGUGGAACUUUAAACCAACCCAGUAACUACAACUGACAAGGUUUUAAGUUGGGGCGACUUCGGAACAAAACAAAACUUCCGAGCAUAGAACCACCAAUUCUUACCGAGGCAAACAGGCCAAAGCGAUAAAACUGACCCAGUAAAACUGAUCAACGAACCAAGUUACCCCAGGGAUAACAGCGCCAUCCUCUUCAAGAGUCCAUAUCGACAGGAGGGUUUACGACCUCGAUGUUGGAUCAGGGCACCCCAAUGGUGCAACCGCUAUUAAAGGUUCGUUUGUUCAACGAUUAACAGCCCUACGUGAUCUGAG
rnacentral:rRNA from 1 species